rnacentral:rRNA from 1 species
AGAGCGAACGUUAGCGGCGGGCCUAACACAUGCAAGUCGCACGAGAAUUGGGCUUCGGCCCAUAGUAAAGUGGCGGACGGGUGAGUAACACGUGAAUAAUCUGCCCUUGAAUGGGGGAUAACAGUCCGAAAGGAUUGCUAAUACCGCAUAAGUCGGCCGGGUCUUCGGAUCUGGUCGGGAAAGCCGGCCUCUCCAUGGAAGCUGGCGUUCGAGGAUGAGUUCGCGGCCCAUCAGCUAGUUGGUAGGGUAAUGGCCUACCAAGGCGAAGACGGGUAGCUGGUCUGAGAGGAUGAUCAGCCACACUGGGACUGAGACACGGCCCAGACUUCUACGGAAGGCAGCAGUGGGGAAUAUUGGGCAAUGGGCGCAAGCCUGACCCAGCCACGCCGCGUGAGUGAUGAAGGCCUUCGGGUCGUAAAGCUCUGUGGGGAGGGACGAAAAACCUGCCAGCUAAUCAUGGCGGGCCUGACGGUACCUCCUUAGCAAGCACCGGCUAACUCCGUGCCAGCAGCCGCGGUAA